rnacentral:rRNA from 2 species
AAACUAACAAGGAUUCCCCUAGUAGCGGCGAGCGAAGCGGGAAGAGCUCAAAUUUAUAAUCUGGCACCUUCGGUGUCCGAGUUGUAAUCUCUAGAAGUGUUUUCCGCGUUGGACCGCACACAAGUCUGUUGGAAUACAGCGGCACAGUGGUGAUACCCCCGUACACGGUGCGGACGCCCAGCGCUUUGUGAUACACUUUCAAUGAGUCGAGUUGUUUGGGAAUGCAGCUCAAAUUGGGUGGUAAAUUCCAUCUAAAGCUAAAUAUUGGCGAGAGACCGAUAGCGAACAAGUACCGUGAGGGAAAGAUGAAAAGCACUUUGGAAAGAGAGUUAACAGUACGUGAAAUUGUUGGAAGGGAAACGCUUGAAGUCAAACUUGCUUGCCGGAGCUUGCUUCGGUUUGCAGGCCAGCAUCAGUUUUCUGGGGUGGAUAAUGGCGGUUUGAAGGUAGCAGUCUCGUGCUGUGUUAUAGCUUUCCGCUGGAUACAUCCUGGGGGACUGAGGAACGCAGCGUGCUUUUAGCGAAGGUUUCGACCUUUUCACGCUUAGGAUGCUGGUGUAAUGACUUUAAACGAC